rnacentral:rRNA from 1 species
UACAGAGGUCUCAAGCGUUGUUCGGAUUCAUUGGGCGUAAAGGGUGCGUAGGUGGCGUCGUAAGUCGGGUGUGAAAUUUCGGAGCUCAACUCCGAAACUGCAUUCGAUACUGCGGUGCUUGAGGACUGGAGAGGAGACUGGAAUUUACGGUGUAGCAGUGAAAUGCGUAGAGAUCGUAAGGAAGACCAGUGGCGAAGGCGGGUCUCUGGACAGUUCCUGACACUGAGGCACGGAAGGCCAGGGGAGCAAACGGG